GUGGGGAAUAUUGGACAAUGGGCGCAAGCCUGAUCCAGCCAUGCCGCGUGUGUGAAGAAGGCCUUUUGGUUGUAAAGCACUUUAAGCGAGGAGGAGGCUCCUUUAGUUAAUACCUAAAGUGAGUGGACGUUACUCGCAGAAUAAGCACCGGCUAACUCUGUGCCAGCAGCCGCGGUAAUACAGAGGGUGCGAGCGUUAAUCGGAUUUACUGGGCGUAAAGCGUGCGUAGGCGGCUUUUUAGGUCGGAUGUGAAAUCCCUGAGCUUAACUUAGGAAUUGCAUUCGAUACUGGGAAGCUAGAGUAUGGGAGAGGAUGGUAGAAUUCCAGGUGUAGCGGUGAAAUGCGUAGAGAUCUGGAGGAAUACCGAUGGCGAAGGCAGCCAUCUGGCCUAAUACUGACGCUGAGGUACGAAAGCAUGGGGAGCAAACAGGAUUAGAAACCCCAGUAGUCC
rnacentral:rRNA from 1 species